UCAAAAGACGACGACGUUGGUAGACACACGAUCUGGCCGGGUCACUUGUCAUCGUCGGCGAGCUUCUGCUGCUCGCUGGGGGCGGCGAUGUUGAGUUGUUGACCCCCCGCGCCUCCCUAUCGGCCUGGAUGGCAAACGCCAUGUUCAUAUGCAGGCUGCCGGCGCCGGCGUCGCUGACGACGACCUUCAGCUUCUGCAUGGCCAGCGGGUAGCGGCGCCUGCGCCGCACCUCCUCCAUGAUGCUGGCCACCGCGUCCCGGGGCUCCACCAUCACCAGCAUCUCCUUGCCGCCGCCGUCCAUCCGGAUGUAGUCCAUUAUGGAGAUCAUCCACAUCGUCUCCUUGUGGCCAGAGUGGCGGAGCCAGGAUUUCAAUCUUGGGUAUUCCUACUUCCGCAAAGUCAAAUUUAUAGACUUAAAAUAAAGCCAAUCAUACUGCGAGUCAGCAACUUUAAACUAAUAUUUACUUUCUAGAAUAUAGACUUCUAAUUGAAA